rnacentral:sRNA from 1 species
GCCAGGCGUGGUGGCGCAUGCUUAUAAUCCCAGCAGUUUGGGAGGCUAAGACAGGAGAAUUGCGAGUUCAGAGCCAGCCUCAGCAACUGUGAGGCCCUAAGCAACUCAGUGAGACCCUGUCUCUA